rnacentral:ncRNA from 1 species
GCCCAAACCAGAAACUUCGUUUCUGGGGUUGUGGAUAGAUCAUAACGCUUUGAUUUUCUUAGCCGAAUAGAACUGGACAGUUCAGUCGUAGAAGGUAAUAACCCUGUAGGCGAAAAGAAAAGAUAAGUAGAUCUACUCCAGAGUACCACGAGACACGUGAAACCUUGUGGGAAGCAGGGAGGACCAUCUCCCAAGGCUAAAUACUACCUAGUGACCGAUAGCGAAGCAGUACCGUGAGGGAAAGGUGAAAAGAACCCCGGGAGGGGAGUGAAAUAGAACCUGAAACCGUGUGCCUACAAUCGGUGGGAGCACUUUUAUGUGUGACCGCGUACUUUUUGUAGAACGGGCCAGCGAGUUACGAUAUGCAGCAAGGUUAAGCACUUCUGGUGCGGAGCCGAAGGGAAACCGAGUCUGAAUAGGGCAACUAGUUGCAUAUCGUAGACCCGAAACCGGGUGACCUAUCCAUGGCCAGGAUGAAGCGAAAGUAAAAUUUCGUGGAGGUCCGAACCACGU